GAUGGUAUAGCUCAAUGGCAGAGUGUGUGCUUGGCAUGCACAAGGUCCUGGGUUCAAUCCCCAGUCCCUCUG
rnacentral:tRNA from 1 species